GACGAACGCUGGCGGCGUGCUUAACACAUGCAAGUCGAACGGAAAGGCCCUGCUUUUGUGGGGUGCUCGAGUGGCGAACGGGUGAGUAACACGUGAGUAACCUGCCCUUGACUUUGGGAUAACUUCAGGAAACUGGGGCUAAUACCGGAUAGGAGCUCCUGCUGCAUGGUGGGGGUUGGAAAGUUUCGGCGGUUGGGGAUGGACUCGCGGCUUAUCAGCUUGUUGGUGGGGUAGUGGCUUACCAAGGCUUUGACGGGUAGCCGGCCUGAGAGGGUGACCGGCCACAUUGGGACUGAGAUACGGCCCAGACUCCUACGGGAGGCAGCAGUGGGGAAUAUUGCACAAUGGGCGGAAGCCUGAUGCAGCAACGCCGCGUGCGGGAUGACGGCCUUCGGGUUGUAAACCGCUUUCGCCUGUGACGAAGCGUGAGUGACGGUAAUGGGUAGAGAAGGACCGGCUAAGUACGUG
rnacentral:rRNA from 1 species